GCUACUACCGAUUGAAUGGUUUAGUGAGGACUCCUGAUUGGCGCCGCCGCCCCGGCAACGGAGCAGCGGACUGCCGAAAAGUUGUUCAAACUUGAUCAUUUAGUGGAAGUAAAAGUCGUAACAAGGUUUCCGUAGGUGAACCUGCAGAAGGAUCAAUCCGCGAAGCUCCUACCGAUUUCGAAUUAUCCGGUGAACCUUCUGGACUGAAGUGGCAACACAUCGGGAAGUUAGGUAAACCUUAUAAUUUAGAGGAAGUAAAAGUCGUAACAAGGUUUCCGUAGGUGAACCUGCAGAAGGA
rnacentral:misc_RNA from 1 species